AUUGAACGCUGGCGGCAUGCCUUACACAUGCAAGUCGAACGGCAGCGGGGGAGAAGCUUGCUUUUCCUGCCGGCGAGUGGCGAACGGGUGAGUAAUACAUCGGAACGUGCCCUGUAGUGGGGGAUAACUAGUCGAAAGAUUAGCUAAUACCGCAUACGACCUGAGGGUGAAAGUGGGGGACCGCAAGGCCUCAUGCUAUAGGAGCGGCCGAUGGCUGAUUAGCUAGUUGGUGGGGUAAAGGCCUACCAAGGCGACGAUCAGUAGCUGGUCUGAGAGGACGAUCAGCCACACUGGGACUGAGACACGGCCCAGACUCCUACGGGAGGCAGCAGUGGGGAAUUUUGGACAAUGGGCGAAAGCCUGAUCCAGCAAUGCCGCGUGUGUGAAGAAGGCCUUCGGGUUGUAAAGCACUUUUGUCCGGAAAGAAAUGGCUCCGGUUAAUACCUGGGGUCGAUGACGGUACCGGAAGAAUAAGGACCGGCUAACUACGUGCCAGCAGCCGCAGUAA
rnacentral:rRNA from 1 species